CCUACGGGAGGCAGCAGUGGGGAAUAUUGGACAAUGGGGGCAACCCUGAUCCAGCCAUGCCGCGUGUGUGAAGAAGGCCCUCGGGUUGUAAAGCACUUUCAGUGAGGAAGAACGCCUGGUGGUUAAUACCCAUCAGGAAAGACAUCACUCACAGAAGAAGCACCGGCUAACUCCGUGCCAGCAGCCGCGGUAAUACGGAGGGUGCGAGCGUUAAUCGGAAUUACUGGGCGUAAAGCGCGCGUAGGGGGCUUGAUAAGCCGGUUGUGAAAGCCCCGGGCUCAACCUGGGAACGGCAUCCGGAACUGUCAAGCUAGAGUGCAGGAGAGGAAGGUAGAAUUCCAGGUGUAGCGGUGAAAUGCGUAGAGAUCGGGAGGAAUACCAGUGGCGAAGGCGGCCUUCUGGACUGACACUGACACUGAGGUGCGAAAGCGUGGGUAGCAAACAGGAUUAGAUACCCCUGUAGUC
rnacentral:rRNA from 1 species